UGGCCUUCAGUAUAUGGGGUCCCAUGAAAAUAUUUUUUGAAGAUCUCUGUAUAAAUAAACAACUUGAACUUAUAAUAUAUAUUCAAGAUGUAGUUGGAGUAUUUUAUAGUGCCAGCAAAUAAGAAAGUUCUCAAAAACAAGUGAUGGAGGAUAAGUUAAAGGGACAUGUGUGCCAACUGAAAGACUUCCCAAUGGCCAAGAAUUGAAUAAUUUUAGAAAUAAAAUAAAGUAGUAUGGAAUUAUGAUGCAAAGCAUAAAAUUAAUAUUCAUGAGUUAAUGCAGAUAUGAAUGAUUCUACAAUAAAUAAGAACAUGCAAACGUCCUAUCCAGAAAAAUUGUAAGUAAUUUAAACAGAUGGUCCACCCUCAAGAAAAUGGAACAUAAUUCCCUACUCCUUAAUUGUGGGCUGGUAAUAGUGACUUCCUUCUAAGGAGUAUGGGAGGGAAUUAGGAAAUAAAAGAGUAGCUAUGGUGGAGAACCCUGACAAGCCCUACUUCAGCCAGGUGACAAGGGUCAGCAUCAGCAUUACUACGUCAUACUGAUGAUACGUAUCCUUGAUAGCAUGUGAUGAGAACUGAAACUUUACCUCUAUGGUUUUUUUCUCCAAAAUCUAUAACCCCAAUCUAAUCAUGAGAAAACUAUCAAGUUUGCAUUGUGGUGCAGGGACAACAAAUCUGACUAGUACCCAUGAGGAUGUGGGUUCAAUCCCUGGCUUCACUCAGUGAGUCAGGGAUCUGGCAUUGCAAUGCACUGCGGUGUAGGUCACAGAUGUGGCUCAGAUCCCAUGUUGCUGUGGCUGUGGCUCUGAUUUGACCCCUAGCCCAGGAACUUCUACGUGCCUUGUGGGGGGGGGGGGUCUUAAAAAAAAGCAAAAAUAAAUAAAUAAAAUUUAGCAGUUCCUGUUUUGGCUCAACUGUUAACGAACCUGACUUGCAUCCAUGAGGACACGGGUUCAACCCUGGCCUUGCUCAGUGGGUUAAGAUCAGGUGUUUCCAUGAGCUGUGGUGUAGGGUCACAGAUGCAUCUUAGAUCCCACAUUGCUGUGGCUCUGGCAUAGGCUGGCGGGCUACAGCUCUGAUUGGUCCCCUAGCCUGGGAACCUCCAUAAGCUGCGGGUGGGGCCCAAAAAAGACAAAAAAAGAGAAAAAUAUCUGACAAACCCCAAUGAAGGGAUAUUCUAUAAAAUACAUGGCCAUUUCUCCUCAAAACUGUCAAGGUCAUCAAAAAUAAGGGAAGUCUGAACACCUGUUUCAGCCAAGAAGCUCCUGAGGAGACAUGGUUGAUUAUAGAAUGUGGGAUGGAUCCUGGAACAUAAAAAUGGACUUUUGGUCAAAACUUAAGUAAUCUGAAUAAAAUAUUGAUUUAGUUCAUAAUUCUUCAUUGUUUCCUUAAUUGUAACAAAUAUACACAUAUAAGGUGUUAAUAAUAAGGAAACUGGAUUUGAAGUAUUGUGGGAACUCUAUAUUAUCUAGGUAAUUUUUCUGUAAACCUGAAUUUGUUCUUAAUUAAAGGUUUAUUUUAAAAGAAUUACAAAUUUCUAUAUAAGGUAAUGCGAUUUACUGAUGGCAAACUUGUUUUGUAAAGGGUCAGAUGGUGAAUAAUCAAGGUUUUGUGAGCUAUGAAUGGUCUGUGUCACAUAUUUGUUUUCGUUGUUUAUAACCCUUUAGAAAUGUAUAAUACACUCCUAUCUGUAGGGUUAUUCAAAGACAAGUAGAAUAAGAUGUGAAGACUAUAGUUGCAGAACUCCUGGUUUAAAAUAACGUAUAGAGAAGAGGUACUUACACAUUUGUUUGUCCUUUCAGUGCACAUGUAGAUUUUUUUCAAGUGUCCAGGUACCACUUCUUCAGAUCCAAUAAUAAUUCUAUUUCAUUAUUAUCAAAUGCACCGUACCUGACUAAUUUCAUUUUUUCCCAUGAGACAAGUUACUAAUGAUAUUUUUACCCACAAUGCCAUGGCUCCUCAAAACCUGUUUUAUUGAACCAAUAUAAAUCUCCUUGCCUCUGCAGUUUCCUUCUACCAUAUACCCAUGACUAUGUUACCCAUUGAACCACUUUGAACACUGGCUUCUAAUGACUCUCUUAAAUGUUGUUGAUAAUGACCCUAAUUAAGAGUCUAGGGUAUGCAGAGAAAAGUGAACAAUAAUUAAUUUUCUAGAUGUGGCAAAUUGGCUGUUCAAAAUUAUACAGUGUAAAAGUUGAACACUAUCUUUUAAUCAUGUCUUGCCUUGGAGUCUUUAGAUUGUCAUUACCACUUUCCUAGGAUAUGAUCUUUUUAAAUGUUGUCUGCACCACUGCCUUCCACACAUGACCACCAGUGCGGAGAAAAGGCAGUGCUCUGUGGAGAGGGUGGAAAAGGUGUUUCCAUUUGCACAAGAAACAUGCUUUCUUUAUCCAACAUGGUUUAAGAUCAGUUUAGCAAAGGACAAUGUCACUAUAUUGAUCAAAAGUGAAAGACAUAGAUUAAAUAGACCAGUUGAUGUCAAGAAGCCAUAGUUUCAGAAUCUUUCAGAAGAGAUGUAUAACCAUUCCAAGAAGCAUUAAUUAUGGAAAAACGUCUGUGGAGGAAGUGCAAAGACUUCCCUGGGGGAUUUUUUUUUAGGUUAUAUAUAUGUGUGUGUUUUUUUAGUUGAAUUUUAAUUUUAUAUUGGACAUAUUGGUGUAUAGUUGAUUUACAAUGUUGUGUUAGUUUCAGGUGCACAGUAAAGUUAUUCACUUACACAUAUAUCCAUUCUUUUUCAGAUUUUUUUCCCAUGUACGUUAUUAUAGAAUAUUGAGUAGAGUUCACUCUGCUACACACUAGGUCCUUGUUUGAUAUCUAUUUUGUAUAUAGUAGUGUGUAUAUGUUAUUCCCAAACUCCUAAUUUACCCCUCUCCUCUCACAGAACUUUACCCUUUGGUAACCAUUAUUUUGUUUUCAAAGUCUGCAAGUCUGUUUCUGUUUUGUAAAUAACUUCAUUUGUAUCUUUUCUUUUCUUUUUAGAUUCCACAUAUAAGUGAUACGCAUAUGAUAUCUGUCUCUGCUAGAUUUACUUCACUUAAUAUGGUAAUCUCUAGGUCCAUCCAUGUCGCUAAAAAUGGCAGUAUUUUGUCCUUCUUUAUGGAUGAGUAAUAUUUCAUUGUAUAUAUGUACCACAUCUUCCCUGAGUAACUUAAAACCAUCAUAUCAGGGGAAGCACUGACACCAAAAGGAACUUCUGCCACUAUUCCCAUGUGCUUUCCCUCACUGCCUACAGUCUCUAACGAUCAGAGGAAGCCCUGUUGUUGGAAUGUGGAGGAUUGUGGAAAAAAAAUCCAAGGAUCUAUGGUAGGUGAUCAGCAGCCCAGAGUCUUGAACUUGUCAAGUGUCCUGAGUAGGAGUUACUCCAAAUUAGUGUGUCAGUACCAUUCUGGCAGCUCAGCUUCACAGAGACCCCCAAAGAAACAUCAGAUGAUGGGUUCACCUUUAGGGCCCCAGGAUGACCACAUGAGCACAAAUCAAUCUUGGGGCAUCUAGACGACCCAUGCACAGCAUAGCUGGAGGUAGGUGACCAGAGAGAUUUCUGAAUGAGAAAAAUAGGAACUGGCGAUCCUGGUAGUGAGCUUGUUCCAAGCCACUGGAAGGAGAGCAGUAAACAAUUUCCCUAAGGACUCUCCAAAACAUGGGGCUUUCUGAGGUGAGACCUAGGCAGAGAUUUCUGCUUGUCAUUUCUAAUUUCUCAGUUCAAGACAUAGGGGAUGCUCCUGUGCUGACCUUAGGCCUCCAACCACCCCCUCAAAAUCCCACUAGUACCAUGAAAAUCAUUCAAACUCAUUUCUUUCCAGCAUUUUGGGUAGAGAUGAAAAAUAUUUUUGGGACUUCUUUUGUUCUUUUUCUUUGUUAAUUCUUUUUUUUAAGAUUUUUGUUUUUUCUAUUAUACCUGAUUUACAAUAUCCUGUCAAUUUCUGCUAUAUGGCAACGUGACCCAGUUUUCCUCCAUCAUGCUGCAUCACAAGUGACUAGAUAUAGUUUCCUGUGCUAUACAGCAGGAUCUUAUUGCUUACCCACUCCAAAUUCUAUAGCUUGCAUUUAUUAACCCCAAACUCUCAGUCCAGUCCACUCUGUCCCGCUCCCCCUUGGCAGCCACAAGUCUGUUCUCCAAGCCCAUGAGUUUGUUUCUUUUCUAUAGAUAGGUUCAUUUGCGCUUCAUAUUAGAUUCCAGAUAUAAAUGAUAGGGACUUAAAGUAUAUAUCCUGCAUCCUAUUCCUCAGGUCCCUGCUGUCUAAUAACUAACUGGUAGAACUAACUCAGGAUAAGUUGUUAAUCCUGAUAAUAUCUUAAUUCCAGAUAAUGCACUUUUAUUUAACAAGAUCUUUUUUUUUUUCUUUAAAUGCCUAACACUAAGUUGUAAAUCUGACUAUGCUUGUUAGAACAUGUCGAUUCACAAUUAAGGGGCCACAGAGCAUUGCUGAGCUCUAGCUGCUUAUCAGGGAUUAUCAUUUUACAUUUACCCUGCUGAAUACAUUUUACAGCUCAGAGAAGUAAUACUUACUUAGGAUUUUUUUUUUAUUGGUUUGGGGAGGGAGGAUGUCCAUUUAUUCUUCCCAAUAUUUUAGCAUCUAACUGAAUUGUUCCAGAUAAUUAAGCCAUAAUAAAAUUUUGGUUAUAUUGGGUUAAAUAAAAUAAAAAAGUCAUGAGCUUUGGGAGUUCCCGUCAAGACACAGUAGAAACAAAUCUGACUAGGAACUGUGAGGUUGUGGAUUCGAAUCCUGGCCUAGCUCAGCGGGUUAAGGAUCUGGCAUUGCAGAGAGCUGUGGUGUAGGUCACAGACGUGGCUGGGAUCUGGCGUUGCUAUGGCUGUGGCUCUGACAUAGGCCAGUGGCAACAGCUCCGAUUAGACCCUCUAGCCUGGGAACCUCCAUAUGCACACAGGUGCAGCCCUAAAAAGACAAAAGACAAAAAAAAAAAAAAAAAAAAAAAAAAAA
rnacentral:lncRNA from 1 species